UACAGAGGGGGCAAGCGUUAUUCGGAAUUAUUGGGCGUAAAGGGCGCGUAGGCGGCCUGGCAAGUGGAAGGUGAAAUCCCUCGGCUUAACCGAGGAACUGCCCUCCAAACUGCUUGGCUUGAGUCCGGGGAGAGGUGAGUGGAAUUCCCAGUGUAGCGGUGAAAAUGCGUAGAUAUUGGGAGGAACACCAGUGGCGAAGGCGGCUCACUGGACCGGAACUGACGCUGAGGCGCGAAAGCGUGGGGAGCAAACGGG
rnacentral:rRNA from 1 species